GACGAACGCUGGCGGCGUGCUUAACACAUGCAAGUCGAACGGAAAGGCCCUGCUUUUGUGGGGUGCUCGAGUGGCGAACGGGUGAGUAACACGUGAGUAACCUGCCCUUGACUUUGGGAUAACUUCAGGAAACUGGGGCUAAUACCGGAUAGGAGCUCCUGCUGCAUGGGGGGGGUUGGAAAGUUUCGGCGGUUGGGGAUGGACUCGAGGCUUAUCAGCUUGUUGGUGGGGUAGUGGCUUACCAAGGCUUUGACGGGUAGCCGGCCUGAGAGGGUGACCGGCCACAUUGGGACUGAGAUACGGCCCAGACUCCUACGGGAGGCAGCAGUGGGGAAUAUUGCACAAUGGGCGGAAGCCUGAGGCAGCAACGCCGCGUGCGUGAUGACGGCCUUCGGGUUGUAAACCGCUUUCGCCUGUGACGAAGCGUGAGUGACGGUAAUGGGUAAAGAAGCACCGGCUAACUACGUG
rnacentral:rRNA from 1 species